UGCUUAAAGAACAAAUUUUAAGUAAAACCUGCUCAAUGAAUAAAUAUUAUUUAUUUACAUAAAUAGCCGCAGAAUUUUAACUGUGCUAAGGUAGCAUAAUCAUUUGUCUUUUAAUUAAAGACUAGAAUGAACGGUUUAACAUUUUAUUUACUUUUUUAAAUAUAAUCAAUUUAAAUUAUAUUAAAUAUAAAAAUAUAUUUAUAAAAAAAUUAGACGACAAGACCCCGUCGAACUUCACUUUAGUUUAACUGGGGCAGUUAUUUAAUUAAAAUUUUAAUUAAAAUAAACCUAUAAAAGAUCCAAUAAAAUUGAUUAUUUGAUUAAGUUACCGCGGGGAUAACAGCGUAAUAAUUUUUUAAAGCUCUUAUUUAAAAUUUAGAUUGCGACCUCGAUGUUGAAUAAUUCUCUUUUUUACGAAAAAGUAUUAAAAGUAGGUCUGUUCGACCUUUAAAAUUUUACA
rnacentral:rRNA from 1 species